rnacentral:rRNA from 1 species
UACAGAGGUCUCAAGCGUUGUUCGGAUUCAUUGGGCGUAAAGGGUGCGUAGGCGGUGAGGCAAGUCUGGUGUGAAAUCCCGGGGCUCAACCCCGGAACUGCACUGGAUACUGCUUUACUAGAGUACUGGAGAGGGAACUGGAAUUUACGGUGUAGCAGUGAAAUGCGUAGAUAUCGUAAGGAAGACCAGCGGCGAAGGCGAGUUCCUGGACAGUUACUGACGCUGAGGCACGAAGGCCAGGGGAGCAAACGGG